AGCAAAUUUCAUGUACCUGAAGUGAACCAGCAACUACUCGACCGGAUACCCGAAUUGAUUGAAAACAAAGAAUCGAUUACCCAACCCUUUACAUUGCUUCGAUCAUCGGUUCUUUUUCAUUCGGUACAUGGGUUCUCACACAACAUUCCGAGAACGAUUUAGAAGUUCAAAAUUGGUCCCAAAUCUUCAAUUUCAUUCAAGAUAUUGUCCAUAGAUCCCCUGCUACUACUAUAAUCUUCAAAAUUGCAAUGGUGCAAGAUUUGUGGUGACAAGUUGGAAAACACCGACCUUCGGGCACGAAUUCACAAACUUGUGUGGAAUGUGUUCAUAAAACCUACCACGUUUGAGUCGAGAUGGAAUGACCUAAUGGCCGAGUUCGAGUUAGGUGACAACAAUUGGCUGAAUGAUAUGUUCGAAAUAAGGGAUCAGUGGGUGCCGGCUUAUUUCAGGGAUUUACCCAUGUGUUGUCUGAUGAAAACAACUUCGAGGUGCGAGAGCUCAAAUUCCUUAUUCAAAGUAUAUUCAUCAUCAGGCAAUACACUUGUCCAAUUUAUGCUUUGUUAAGAAAACACAUUGAAUGCUCAACGCUUCGAACACCGUCGUCUCCAAUACGAAACUACAACAACGUCACCUAAAAUGUUGACAAGCCUACCAAUAGAACGUCAUGUGUCAUAUGUAUACACACAGAACCUUUUCAAUGAAGUUCAGAAGGAAAUAUACAAAGGGUUGUAUUUGUGUGGUCUUGAUCACACAGAAACAAGUGAUGGUGUUAGGAUUAGCUCUGUUAAUCAUCACGACAAAAGCAAGGGUUAGUUGGGGAGUUCAAGGUUAUGUUCAUAGUUUCACAAUUUUUAUUCAUUCUACUAACAUCGUUCAGUCAAAUAUGUAUGAUCACACCUGAUUUAAUGUGCAGGUAACUUUCAAUUUGA